rnacentral:lncRNA from 1 species
CAGAACCAGAGUGCAAUUAUCUUGUUCACUGAAAAUGUAUGAACCCAUAUAGCUCUGAAUAUGGAUUCUUGAGAGGUAGAGACUUUUAAUUGGCAUUUCAAUUGUAAGUUGAAAUAAUGUAAUUUAGCCAAUUGGAUUGAAACCUGUGUGGUUUAGAUUAUUUAUUGUUGUUUUGUAUUCUUUAAUUUGAAUAAAAUGUCACAGCAUUGCAGUUGAUCAUCAUCAUAAUAAUAUACGAUUUAUGCUUUAAUUGUUUCUCUUGUGGCUUAAUUAUUUGAAAAAAGAAGUGCUACUAGGAAUUAUUUUUAUCUCACUCUUAGUGAACAUUUAAGUUAAUAGAUUAGUUGUCAAAAAAAGCUGGUGAUUUAUUCAUGUAUAAUCUUGUUGAAAAGAAAUUGAAAGAGUUUGAACAUGUUACUUCCAACAUUCACUUUCUGUUUUUUUCUUUCUUGCUACGUCGACGGAAAAAACCAAAGAGGAAGGAGAAAUGGAGGAGUCACUGAAUUACGGUCAUCAACAUCACCUGCUUCUUCUUUUGAAUGAAGAUCAGCUGCUGAUUGUAGCUGACUGCUCAAGGUGUGGAGAGAAAGUGUCAACUCCAUGUUUUAGCUGUGUUGAGGAUUGUGGGUUUACCUUCACAAGGUAUGUGCUGAGGCACCUUUGAUGCUUAAUCACCCUUUUCAUCUCAACCAUCCUCUUUUCUUAUGCAAAAUCCACCUUAUUCCUCUGGACAGUACAUUUGAACUUUCUACCGUCAAAUUGG